GCCUCUUUAGCUCAGUGGUAGAGCGUAUCACUCGUAAUGAUAAUGUCGUCGGAUCAAUCCCGACAGGAGGCA
rnacentral:tRNA from 2 species